rnacentral:rRNA from 1 species
UACGAAGGGGGCUAGCGUUGCUCGGAAUCACUGGGCGUAAAGCGUGCGCAGGCGGCUUUGCAAGACAGAUGUGAAAUCCCCGGGCUUAACCUGGGAACUGCAUUUGUGACUGCAUGGCUGGAGUGCGGCAGAGGGGGGGUAGAAUUCCACGUGUAGCAGUGAAAGUGACGUAGAGAUGUGGAGGAAUACCGAUGGCCGAAGGCAGCCCCCUGGGCCAAUACUGACG